CACGAACGCUGGCGGCAGGCUUAACACAUGCAAGUCGAGCGCCCCGCAAGGGGAGCGGCAGACGGGUGAGUAACGCGUGGGAAUCUACCCAUCUCUACGGAAUAACGCAUGGAAACGUGUGCUAAUACCGUAUACGUCCUUCGGGAGAAAGAUUUAUCGGAGAUGGAUGAGCCCGCGUUGGAUUAGCUAGUUGGUGGGGUAAAGGCCUACCAAGGCGACGUUCCAUAGCUGGUCUGAGAGGAUGAUCAGCCACACUGGGACUGAGACACGGCCCAGACUCCUACGGGAGGCAGCAGUGGGGAAUAUUGGACAAUGGGCGCAAGCCUGAUCCAGCCAUGCCGCGUGAGUGAUGAAGGCCCCGGGGUUGUAAAGCUCUUUCACCGGUGAAGAUAAUGACGGUAACCGGAGAAGAAGCCCCGGCUAACUUCGUGCCAGCCGCCGCGGUAACAC
rnacentral:rRNA from 1 species